ACCAUCAGCCCCCUCCUGGAGCCUGCUGGUCAGGUGGGGCGGCUCCUCUGUGCACUGUACUCUGUGGGCAGAGAGAAACCCCCACCCCUGCCAAGCGUUGCAGCCAAGACAAGACAAAGCUGGGGACCCCAGGCUUGCCAGGAAGGCAGAAGGCCUGGGGCUGUCCCAAGGAUCUAGGUGACAGGCAGACAGAGCUGGCGGUUGGAGACUGCUCUCUUCUCUCCCUGCCUUCACCCCGAGCCCAGCAGAGACACCAUGCCAGGACUCCCCAGGUUCCACUUAGACACCAGCGCCCCCCACAGCAGGAGGCCCUGCCACCAAUGGCCAGGGUCCUGGGCCUCCUUGCAGAAGACCGUGGUCAUCCUGUGCCUGCUACUCUCCAGUACCUCCCUGUCCCCCACACACGCGCAGACCGAGAUUCCUCCGGAAACAGUGAAGCUGUGGGCAGACACCUUCGGCAGGGACCUAUAUGACACCGUGACCAAAUACUCGGGCUCUCUCUUGCUGCAGAAGAAAUACAAGGAUGUGGAGUCCAGUCUGAGGAUCAAGGAGGUGGAUGGCUUGGAGCUGGUGAGGAAGUUCUCAGAGGACAUGGAAACCAUGCUACGCAGGAAGGUGGAGGCUGUCAAGAAUCUGGUAGAGGCUGCUGAGGAGGCUGACCUGAACCAUGAAUUCAAUGAAUCGCUGGUGUUUAACUAUUACAACUCUGUCCUGAUCAACGAGAGGGAUGAGAAUGGCAAUUACGUGGAGCUGGGGUCUGAGUUUGUCCUUGAAUCCAAUGCGCACUUCAGCAACCUGAUGGUGAACACCUCCAUCAGCAGCGUGCAGCUGCCCACGAACGUGUACAACAAAGACCCAGACAUUUUAAAUGGAGUCUACAUGUCUGAAGCCUUGAACACUGUUUUUGUGGAGAAUUUCCAAAGAGACCCGACACUGACAUGGCAAUAUUUUGGCAGCUCCACUGGAUUCUUCAGGAUCUAUCCAGGUAUCAAAUGGACGCCUGAUGAGAAUGGAGUCAUUGCCUUUGACUGCAGAAAUCGUGGCUGGUAUAUACAAGCUGCUACUUCUCCCAAGGACAUAGUGAUUGUAGUGGAUACGAGUGGCAGCAUGAAGGGGCUGCGGAUGACUAUCGCCAAGCACACCAUCUCCACCAUCUUGGACACACUGGGGGAGAAUGAUUUUGUUAAUAUCAUUGCGUACAGUGACUACAUCCAUUACAUCGAGCCUUGUUUUAAAGGGAUCCUUGUCCAGGCAGAUCGGGACAAUCGCGAGCAUUUCAAACAGCUGGUAGAUGAGCUGAUGGUCAAGGGUGUGGGGGUCGUGAACCAAGCCUUGACUGAAGCCUUCCAGAUCCUGAAGCAGUUCCAAGAGGCCCGGCAAGGAAGCCUCUGCAACCAGGCCAUCAUGCUGAUCACCGAUGGGGCUGUGGAAGACUAUGAGCCAGUAUUUGAGAAGUACAACUGGCCUGACCGCAAGGUUCGAGUUUUCACUUAUCUGAUUGGAAGAGAAGUGACUUUUGCUGACCGCAUGAAGUGGAUUGCAUGCAACAACAAAGGCUACUAUACACAGAUCUCCACACUGGCAGAUGCACAGGAGAACGUGAUGGAGUACCUGCACGUGCUCAGCCGCCCCAUGGUCAUCAACCAUGACCAUGACAUCACCUGGACAGAAGCCUACAUGGACAGCAAGUUAUUCACUUCACAGGCACAGAGCUUGAUGCUCCUCACCACUGUGGCCAUGCCAGUCUUCAGCAAGAAGAAUGAAACGCGAUCCCAUGGCAUUCUUCUGGGUGUGGUGGGCUCUGAUGUGGCCCUGAGAGAGCUGAUGAAACUGGCACCCCGGUACAAGCUCGGAGUGCAUGGAUAUGCCUUUUUGAACACUAACAAUGGCUACAUUCUCUCACAUCCUGACCUCCGACCCCUGUACAGAGACGGGAAGAAACUCAAACCCAAACCUAACUACAACAGCGUGGAUCUCUCUGAAGUGGAGUGGGAAGACCGAGCUGAAACCCUGAGAACAGCCAUGAUCAAUGGGGAAACAGGGUCUCUCUCUAUGGACGUGAAGGUUCCACUGGACAAAGGGAAGAGAGUUCUUUUCCUGACCAAUGACUACUUCUUCACAGACAUCAGUGACACACCUUUCAGUCUGGGAGUGGUGCUGUCCCGGGGCCAUGGAGAGUACAUCCUCCUGGGGAACACAACUGUGGAAGAAGGCCUGCAUGACUUGCUUCACCCAGAUCUGACCUUAGCCAGUGACUGGAUCUACUGCAUCACAGAUAUCGACCCAGACCAUCGGAAGCUCAGCCAGCUGGAGGCCAUAGUCCGCUUCCUGACAGGGGAGGACCCAGAUCUGGAGUGCGAUGAGGAGCUGGUGCGGGAGGUACUGCUUGAUGCGGUGGUGACGGCCCCCAUGGAAGCCUACUGGACAGCGAUGACUCUCAACACCUCUGACGAGUCCGAGCAGGUGGUGGACGUGGCAUUCCUGGGCACCCGGGCUGGCCUCCUCAGAAGCAGCUUAUUUGUAGGCUCCGAGAAGGUCUCCGACAAAAAGUUCCUGACUCCUGAGGAUGAAGCCAGCAUAUUCACCAUGGACCACUUCCCUCUGUGGUAUCGACAGGCUGCUGAGCAUCCUGCUGGCAGCUUUGUCUUCAAUCUCCAAUCAGCAGAGGCACCAGAAAGUCCAGGCCAGCCAAUGGUAGUAACAGCGAGCACUGCUGUGGCCGUGACGGUGGACAAGAAGACAGCUAUCGCUGCAGCGGUGGGAGUCCAAAUGAGGCUGGAGUUCCUACAACGCACGUUCUGGGCAGCGACCCGGCAGUGCGGCACUGUGGAGGGGCCAUGCCCAGAGAGCUGCCAGGACAGUAGCCUGGACUGCUUCGUCAUCGACAACAAUGGGUUCAUCCUAAUCUCAGAGAGGUCCCAGGAGAUGGGAAGAUUCCUGGGGGAGGUGGAUGGCGCUCUCAUGACCCAGCUGCUCAGCAUGGGGGUGUUCAGCCAAGUGACUAUGUAUGACUACCAGGCCAUGUGCAAACCAUCAAAUCACCACCACAGCGCUGCCCGGCCCCUGGUCAGCCCAAUCUCUGCCCUCCUGACUGCUACCAGGUGGCUAGUGAAUGAGCUCUUGCUGCUCCUGCUCGAGUGGAGUGCCUGGGGCUCCUGGCGUGCGGACAGCAAGGCCGAGGCCCACAAGCACAAGAAACAGGACAUGCUGCAGCCCUGUGACACACAGUACCCCGUGUUUGUGCACCAGACGGCCAUCCAGGAGACCAACGGGGCCAUCGAGUGUGGGGCCUGCCAGAAGAUAUUUGUGAUGCAACAGAUUCCCAGUAGUAACCUUCUCCUCCUGGUGACAGACCCCACCUGUGACUGUAGCAUCUUCCCACUAAUCCUGCAGGAGGCUACUGAAGUCAAAUAUAUCCUUCCAAUCCUCCACGAUAUGCCGGCUGAGGGAAGGGUGGAGGUGAAGGAGAUGUCACUGAGGGGCUCAGAUUUUGAGAAGCCGAGGCCAGCCUUCCUCACCAUCAGCAUCCCACCCUCCCCCACAGAGCAUUGUGAUUUGUUCUCCAGCCUUCCACCCCACUCCGACCCCCCCACCCCUGGGUGCUGCCUCUGACCUUAGAAGCCACUUGCAAGACAGCUGGUCCCACCAAGGGGAGGUUCUUCCUGAACUUAGUCUCUAGAAUCUCCAGAAUCCAUUCCUGUCAUGAGGUGUUCACCUUAACAGUGAAUUCUUCACAUAAUGCCUCUGUCAAGUGUGACAGAAUGCGCUCCCAGAAGCUUCGCAGGAGACCAGAUUCUUGCCAUGCCUUCCAUCCAGAGGAAAAUGCCCAGGACUGUGGUGGCACCUCGGACCUCUCAGCCUCGCUCCCCAUGCUCCUGCUGCCUCUGUGUGCCUGGGUCCUUCCACCCCAGUUGCUGCGGUGACACCUGCCCAAUCUGACCUCUGUUUUGAUGAGAUGGUCCUUGCAGAGAUAUUCUAAAGAGUCAACAACUGGUGUGGGAUCCACCUCACUAUACCUGGGUUAUCACCCAGGUCACUGUUCAUCUCAAUCUUAGGCUAAUGGUCCCUGCCUCCUGAGCUUCCUGGACAGAACCAGAAACCACUUCUCAAAGACCUUCCAGGGUGUCUAGUACCAUCCACCCCAAGUCUCGAUGGGCAUCCUCCCAUCCUUCCUACCUCCUCUUCAGGAGCCCAGCACGAGCUCAACUUGGACCAAGACAAAAGAAUUCAAUUCCAUCUAUUUUCCAGAAGUCCAGACCCAGCCAAGGGUCAGCUGUUUCUAAUGAACCUGGUUGGACUUUGGAAGAAUCCAAGAACUUAAAGGUACUGAGAAAGAGGGGCAGAAUGAGGCUAACAGCAGAAAAUGAGAUGAAGAACAUGCUUCAUCAACCUGAAAUACAGCUUUCUCAAAAUGAGAUGCAUGGUAGAGGGUAGCUCAAUUUCCUAGCUGCUACUCAAAAAAGUUGUGUGUGUGGAUGUGAGAGAGAAACAGAGAAAGAGAAAAAGAGACAGAGAGAAGGCAGGAAAGUAAAUAGUAAUGGGAAAAACUCUUUUCCUACAGGUAUUAAAUCCUUUUAUAUUACUGUGGUAUAUGCAAACUAUUGCCAUUAAAAAACUUCUAAAAAUGUCUUUACAAAGCUCUAA